CGCUCGCAUGCCCGGAGCCGGGCGCACCGCCCCGCUCUCGCGAGAUCUUCCUUUCCCUUUCCUCCUCCGGGCAGCUCUCGCGAGCCCUUGUCCGUCCCACCGCCGCGCUCUCGCGGGGUUGUUCUCGUGAGAACGAGGUGGCGCGGCGGAGUGGGCGUGGAGCAGAAUUGAAGCCAGCUCUUUUGGAGGGAUGAACAUGGGAUGAGUUAAAGCAAGGCUCAUUCAAGCUUUCAGGGUGGUUCCAAUUCAGUCAGUUCUUCCAGUUGUGGAUCCACAUCCAUGGGCUCUCCAUCACUGUCAAGAAGGGCCAAGUAUAUGGGCCCAUUGGUACAGAGUCUCCCUAUUGGCCGCCACUUCUUGUUAGGAGAAGACUCAAUCAAGCCCUUUAUAAGAAGAUAGAACACAAGUCUCACUUGCAAAAAGAGCUCAGGUGACAAAAAUGUGGCAUUAUUGGGAGUUGAGGCCUAUGGCAACAGAGUCCCAAUUCUGAAGGCAGAAGAAUGGCGGAGGUGCUGAGUAGCUCUUUCCUGGGAAUGGCUUCCUGAUGCCUUUUACCUUGCCAAAGGGAACAUCUGCUCUUUGAGCACAGGUACCUGUUGGGUCUCCAGCCUCCUUUUCAUUUCAUGCAUAGGGUUCCAUCACUCAGGCUUAUCCCUGUCCUCCCCUCUUCCUCAGAGCUCAGAGUAGAGUUGAUGCCAAAUCUUUAGGAGAAAUUAGGGUGGGAAAUGGGAAAGCAGGGCUCAUACAAGCCUUGGCCAUCAACAGAAGAAUUGCA
rnacentral:lncRNA from 1 species